rnacentral:rRNA from 1 species
AGCUCCAAUAGCGUAUAUUAGUGUUGUUGCGGUUAAAAAGCUCGUAGUUGAAUUUCGGGAUUGGGAUAUAUCGGUCAUGCCUUUAGGGGCAUGAAUUGGUGUGUAGCCAAUUUCUCACCUUCUGGUGAAUUGGGAUGCUCUUGGGUGUUUCAAUGAACUAGGACUUUUACUUUGAAAAAAAUAUAGUGUUUAAAGCGGGCAUUUUUGCUUGAAUACAUUAGCAUGGAAUAAUAAAAUAGGACGAUGGUUCUAUUUUGUUGGUUUUAGGACCACGUAAUGAUUAAUAGGGAUAGUUGGGGGCAUUAGUAUUCAAUAGUCAGAGGUGAAAUUCUUGGAUUUAUUGAGGACUAACUACUGCGAAAGCAUUUGCCAAGGAUGUUUUCA